rnacentral:ncRNA from 1 species
ACCAGCGGGGAAAGAAGACCCUGUUGAGCUUGACUCUAGCCUGGCGCUGUGAAGAGACACGAGAGGUGUAGAAUAAGUGGGAGGCCGGGCACGCCCUUGGCGGGGGGGCUCUCGCUUCCGGCGCCAAGCCCCUGGUGCGUGCCAGGCACGACGCGCUCCGGGGGCAGCGGCAGGCGGGGGGUUGGGACAGUACACCCGUCAAAGCGUAACGCAGGUGUCCUACGGCAAGCUCAGGGAGGACGGAAACCUCCCAAGGAGCAGAAGGGCAAAAGCUCGCUUGACCUUGAUUUUCAGUACGAAUGCAGGCAGUGGAAGCGGGGCCUUGCGAUCCUUCUGGCUUUCUCGGUCUUAAGCAGGAGGCUAGAACCUGCCUGAAGGCUACGCAGCGCAUCGGUGACGGGACAAGACAUAGGCAGCUGCUCUUGGUCUGGGCUGUAAUUGUUCCACUUCAUCACUUACUGUUACACUGCUGGU